rnacentral:pre_miRNA from 1 species
AGCGGGCACGGCUGUGAGAGCCCCCUAGGUACAGCGGGGCUGCAGCGUGAUCGCCUGCUCA